UUUGGCGGAUUUGCAUAAACUGUACUCUGACUGUGAAAUUAUGACAUCUAGCUCGGAUGGAUUGGAUAAUGAAAUGGAUUGGACGAUAAAUCAAUCUAGGAAACAGAAAAGGACUGUGCCAGAGAGAAGCUCACGAGACAGAGCGAAAAGUUGGUCGGAUGACAGCGAGGCCAGGGCUGGGAAAAAGUCUAGAAAUAAUGAAAGGCGGAUAAAUAUGGAUCAAGCUCAGGAAAGCGACUGGAAAGUUAUGAUCGAAUUCUACCAGGAUGGUGGGCACUAUCACCCAAUCAAACUUACCAAAAUAAUCGAGGAAGAAAUUGGUAGAAUAAAAUUCGCCAGGUUUAUGAACAACAAACGAGUGCUGAUACAUGCAACCAGUAAACAACAACAAGAAAAAAUACUUAGAAUGUCAACACUUAAAGGAGAAAGGAUGAAAGCUCAUAUACCUGGAGCAAUGGCAAGCGUGAGAGGAGUUAUCUCAGGAGUCCCGCUAAGCAUGACAAUGGAAGAUGUGAAAAAAGAGAUAAAAGGAGGAAAAGUGACUGAGGCCACAAGGCUCAAAAGUAAAAGGGAUGGCACACUGAAGGAAACCCUGUCAGUAGUACUUCAGUUUGAAAAAGAUGUACCAAAUGCAGUACAGAUGGGAUAUGUGAAUUACCCAGUGAGGGAAUAUAUACCAAAGCCACUCAGGUGUUAUGCCUGCCAGAGAAUGGGACACACAGCGCAACAGUGCAAAGGUAAACUAAGGUGUGCAAGAUGUGGAGGGCCACAUGAGUAUGGAAAAUGUGACAAAGAUUCCAAGAUACAAUGUUGUAACUGUGGAGGAGAGCACAGUGCUGCCUAUGGAGGAUGUGUAGUGCAGAGGGAAGCCAGAGAGGCCCAGAGAAUUAAAAUAACUGAAAAAGUUUCAUAUGCAGAAGCACUGAAGAAAGUUAGGGGGACAGGAACAAAUGAUGAAAGAUUUAGUGGAAUGACACAAAGACAUGUAGCUCAGAGGGACAGUAAAACAACAGAUAAUCAGGACAAAACCCAAACCCCAGUGAUGGCCCAAAAUGUCUGCACGCACAAAUGUAAAGUUAAUGAUGAAACACUAGUGGUGAACAAAGUGAACUUUGUGGUCUUCAUCUGCCACACCAUUAAUGUUACGACACAACUGAAAAGGAAAAGUGACAGGAUCAAGGCCAUUGUGGAAGCAGCAGAAACAUUUCUGGAUAUGAAAGAUGUGAAAGCAGACCAGAUACAUGCAAUACUAAAGGAAAAUGAAGCUGCAGGAAAUACACAUGUGGAGGGUUAAUAUAUUGAUGAUGGUUCUACACAUACUUCAGUGGAAUGCAAGAAGUCUUAUAGCAAACGGACAAGAAUUUAAAAAGUUCAUACAUGAUUUAGAUACAGUUCCAGAUAUUAUUUGUGUACAGGAAACUUGGCUACAGCCCCAGCUAGAUUUUAUAAUUCCAGGGUUCAGUUCCAUAAGACAUGAUAGAAAUAACCAACAUGGAGGAGGGUGUGCUACUUUUUUCAAAGAUGGACUGGCCUAUAGGGAGAUUCCCUCCCCUGAGGAUAUUGAAUGUACUGUAGCAGAAAUUUAUAGCCCAAGAGAAGAAGGAAACAUUAAGUUAAUUAACUUCUAUAAUCCAUGUAGAAACUUAACUGUUGAAAGCUUCAAGGAAUUGGCAGGGAUCGUAGCUAAGAGAGAAAUAUGGUGUGGAGAUUUCAAUGCACACAGCAGUUUAUGGGGUAGUACUCACACGGAUAACAAUGGGGAUGUAGUGGAAGAAAUGAUGGAUGAAAGGUCUUUAGUAUGUCUUAACAGUGGAAUAGGUACAAGAGUGGAUGUGAACAGGGGUACGAUGUCAUGUUUGGAUCUGACAAUGGUGUCAGAUAGACUGGUGAAUGCGUGUGAGUGGUAUGUUAAGAAUAAUUCAACCGUAGGAAGUGAUCACUUCCCUGUGAUAACUAUUGUAAAUACAAGUGUAUGCCUUCAGGAAGGGAAUACGUUCACCAGGUGGUGCUUUGUUAAGGCAGACUGGGAAAAAUUUAAGAUGUGUUGUAAAGAGUCAGUACAUUUGAUUACACUAGAAGGAGACAUAGAGGAGUGCACGGAUCAGAUUACAGAACAUAUUCUAAAUGCAGCAAACCUGAGCAUACCAAAAAGAACUACAAAGGGCAGGAAGAAAGUGGUACCGUGGUGGAACGAGGAAUGCAGCAGAGCAAUUAAAGAACGAAACAAAGCAUUCAGAGCACUGAAGAAAAAUUUAUCACAAGAGAAUAUUAUAGAUUAUCAAAGGAAAAAGGCAGUGGCUCGUAGGAUCAUUAAAUACACUAAAAAGAGUACAUGGAGAGAUUUUUGUGCCACCAUAGGCAGAGGGGUCAAGCUGGGGGAUGUAUGGUCUAUGCUCAAGAGAAUGAGUGGGAAAAGGAAGUCAGCUUUAAUACCAGCACUAGUAGAUGGGGAGAAAAUGGCAGUGUCAGACAAAGAGAAGGCUGAUGUAUUAGGUACAGCAUUUGCUGCAGUUCAUAAUGGGGAGCACAUUGGUGAAUUACACAGGCAGCAGAAAGACCGCAUAUGCAGAGAAAAUGAGAAAGUGAGAGAGAAGAAAGAAGAUGACAUGUCAACGUUGAAUAUGGACCUAACAAGUCCAGAACUUAAAAUAGCCUUACAAGGUACAGGGUAUACAGCACCAGGACAGGACCAGUUAUGUUAUGCCAUGUUCCGGCAGCUACCAGAGGAAUCUUUAAAAAUGGUGUUGAGACUGUUUAAUAAAAUAUGGAGGGAGGGAACUCUGCCCAGUGGCUGGAAAAGAGCAAUAAUAUUGCCAUUUAAUAAACCAGGAAAGAAUCCUAAUAAUCCUAGUAACUAUAGACUCAUAGCCUUGACGUCUCACUUAUGUAAAUGGAUGGAGAAGAUAAUUGUUAUGAGGCUGUCAUAUGUUAUGGAACAGAGAGGGCUAUUUAAUAAUUCUCAGAGUGGAUUUAGGAAAGGACGAUCCACAAUGGAUGCUCUAGUUAGAGUUAGUAAUGAAGUAGAAAAGACAAUGAAAAUGAAAGAGUUAAUGAUAAUUGUAUAUUUUGAUAUAGAAAAAGCAUAUGAUUCCAUGUGGAGGGAUGGGUUGCUUAUCAAACUAAGUAGAAUGGGUAUUGGAGGGAGAUUAUAUAAUUGGAUUAUGGACUUCUUAACAGGCAGGAAAUUUAAUGUCAAGGUUGGAACAGAAGUUUCUAAAGAUUAUAAAAUUGAAAAUGGUAUUCCCCAGGGAAGUGCAAUCAGCCCUGUUCUGUUUAAUGUAAUGAUAAAUGAUAUUUUUACAAAGUUAGAUGGAUGCAUCGAAUCAGCGCUAUACGCAGAUGAUGGGGCCAUAUGGAUGAGGGGAAAAAAUGUGUCACAUGUCUGCAGGAAUAUCAGGAAAGCAAUAGAAAAAGUGGAAAAGUGGUCGUAUGAAUGGGGGUUCAAAAUGUCAGCCAGCAAGUCAUGUUACAUGAUCUUUACAAACAAGCGUAAGAUUGACAAUGAGAAGUUAACACUUUAUGAUCAGCCGAUGGAGAGGGUGAAUGAGUUCAAGUACCUGGGCCUAUAUUUAGAUCACAAGUAUACAUGGAAAGCACACAUUGAACAUUUGGCAACAAAGUGCAAAAAGGUUAUUAAUUUACUACGGGCUGUAGCAGGCUGUGACUGGGGGGCAGAUAAAAAAUCAUUAAUUGACAUAUACAGGGCAGUUAUGAGAUCAACAAUAGAUUAUGGCAGUAUAGUUUACGGAGCAGCAGCUAAAACUUCAUUACAAAAAGUAGACAGACUGCAGUAUAGAGCACUGAGAAUUUGCAUAGGAGCCAUUAGGUCAACACCCAUAAACGCAAUAUUAAUAGAAGCAGGAGAGACACCACUGGAUUUAAGAAGGGAUAAACUGGCACUUACAUACUGGAUACGUUUAAAAGGGAGUGGGGAAGAAAACCUUACAACGAGGACAAUAAAGGACUGUUGGGAAUACUCUAAAUUCCAGAGACAUGGGUUUGGGUGGUCAAGGGAUGAAAGGUUGAGAAGAUAUGGAAUGGAGACAUUAAAAUUCACUAAAUACACACCUAUGAGUAACAUACCUCCUUGGCUAUUCCCAGAAGCAAAAGUUGACAUGAGCAUACUGGAACGGAAAAAAGAAUGGAGAAUGAACGAAGUAGGCGGUAAAGCAAGUAUUUACCUGAGAAAUAGUUACUACAACUACCUGGAAAUUUACACAGAUGGGUCAAAAAAUCAAAAGGAUUGUGUGGGAAUAGGUGUAUUUAUCCCUGAGUUUGAUGUGAAUAUCUCUAAAAGAUUAUCCAACCAACUAUCAGUAUACACAGCAGAAAUGGUGGCAGUCUACAUUGGGUUACAGUGGGUGGAAGAGGUUAGUCCUGAUAAGGUGGUGGUGUGCACAGACUCAAUAGCGGUAUUAGAAAGUAUAAAAUCAACAACAACGUGCAGAGAAGAUUUACUCAUUGAUAUUUCUCACAGUUUAUUAAGAUUACACAGACGUGGCAUAGAUGUUCAGUUCUGUUGGGUACCAGCACAUGAGGGAGUAACAGGGAACGAGGGUGCUGAUAAACUAGCAAAAAUGGCUCUACAUAAGGAAAUAACAUUACCAGUUCCACUAGGAAAAGGAGAAGGUAAAGCAAUAAUUAAAAAGAAAGGAAUGGAAAUAUGGCAGAAAAGGUGGGAGGAAGAUCAGAAAGGACAGGGAUAUCACAUAAUACAAAAGACUAUAAUAACAAAGAAUUAUACUGAAAGGAACAGAAGGGAGGAAACAGUUAUAACAAGACUCAGACUGGACCACACAGGACUAAAUGGCACCUUGCAUGUAAUGGGAAAAAGGGAUAGUGAUAAAUGUGAGAACUGUGGAAUAAAAGAAAACGGUGAACAUAUCCUAAUGCACUGUAACAGGUAUAAAAUAGAAAGAGAGCGACUACAGGAAAAAGUGAGAGAGGCAGGACGUGAGUGGAAUUUGAAGGGGAUACUGGGAACAGAGGGAGAGGGGGUGGAAAUCACCAGAAAGGCAUUAAUUCAUUUCCUAAAAACACUAGGCUGAUAAACAGAAUUUAAACCGGGCUAAAUGAAAUAAUUUCACACACUCUUGUACAGUAGGUGGCGGUAUGCACCUGAAAGUUGCUUGCGAUCCGCCAAUAAACUGAGAGAAGAAGAAGAAGAAGACUCCUUUACUUCUGACUUUCAUUAUGAAGACUGCAGGCUUCUUCCUGAGGGUUUCCCUCUGUAUGUUGUUGAUUGUGGAGUCAUCUGGGAUGCAUUUGAAGGGAUCAAAAUCUCACCAACAGAGUGGUGGUGGCGGCAGUGGGGCUGGUGGCAACUUUGCCUCCUACCAGGGAGCACCCACAGGUCAUUCAGCACCAGUACUCUACAGUGCCCCUAGACUGGUAUCUGCACCAGUACUUGUCCAAAACCCUAACGCCCCUCAGCUUGUUGGCUACACAACUCCAGUAGGGAGCAGCCUGGACUCAGCUGCACCUGCUGUUGGUAGUGGGUCGGCCGUGCCCCUUCAGGCUGGCGCUGUCGGUAGUGGGUCGGCCGUGCCCCUUCAGGCAGGACCUGUCGGUACUGGGUCUGUUGUGCCCCUUCAGCCUGGCUAUGUUGUCUCUGGUUCUUCUGUACCCUUUCAAGCAGGAGCCGUUGGUUCAGGGCCGGCUGGAGCUGAAACCGAGUGGGCUGUUCCUCCCCAAAGCUUGACUGAAGCAGCAGAUGAUGCCCAGACCAUGGAUGCCAGUGGCUUUCUCCCAUCACCCCCUCUACCACCACCUCAACCUAGCUUCCAGGCAGGAGAAGCUGCCAGUGUUAUGAGGGAAGCUGAACUUGGCAACUUCCAGCGGCAGACGGAAGAAUUUGGCUAUCCAGCUGACCAACUGGGCCAAGGACAGCAGGGAUUCACAAGUGUGGUUCACCAGUUUGGUGUGGGUGGUUUCUCGGCUCACCCCUAUCCAGACUUUGACUACAAACUCCUGUAUGGCCUGUACCCUCCUGGCACCCAGACUACCUUCAGCCAGCACCAUGAGAAGGGCAAAGACUUCUCGCAGGCCGUCCACUACUUGACGGAGCAUGCUUCUGACGACCAUGGUUCUGUGCAGCAGAAAAAGGUCUUCCAAGCUGCCUCCUAGACUUCUGCAGGAAAUGCUUAGGCGUCUCAAUGCUGGCAGAAAUAUGUCCUCUGCAUAAAAUAUUCUGAUCAAUUUUGGCCAAUAAAGAUU